rnacentral:rRNA from 1 species
GACGAACGCUGGCGGCGUGCUUAACACAUGCAAGUCGAACGGUGAAGGGUCCUGCUUGCUGGUUCUGGAUGAGUGGCGAACGGGUGAGUAACACGUGAGUAACCUGCCCCCUUCUUCUGGAUAACCGCAUGAAAGGGUGGCUAAUACGGGAUAUUCUGGGUCUGUCGCAUGGCGGGGCCGGGAAAGAUAUUGCUUCGGUGGGGGAUGGGCUCGCGGGCUGUCAGAGUGUUGGUGGGGUGAUGGGGGACCAAGGCGGGGACGGGUAGCCGGGCUGAGAGGGUCGACAGUGAGACUGGGACGGCGACAAGGCGCCGACGCCUAGGGGAAGCAGCAGUGGGGAGGAAGGCGCAGUGAGUGCAAGCCUGAGGCAGCGAGGCCGCGGGAGGGAUGGAGGGAUUCGGAUUGUAAACCUCUUGCGGCAAUGAAGCAGGCCUGCUGAUUGUGGGUGGUGUGACGGUAGCUGGUGAAGAAGCGCCGGCUAACUACGUG